rnacentral:rRNA from 1 species
GAUGAACGCUGGCGGCGUGCCUAAUACAUGCAAGUCGAGCGAACGGACGAGAAGCUUGCUUCUCUGAUGUUAGCGGCGGACGGGUGAGUAACACGUGGAUAACCUACCUAUAAGACUGGGAUAACUUCGGGAAACCGGAGCUAAUACCGGAUAAUAUUUUGAACCGCAUGGUUCAAAAGUGAAAGACGGUCUUGCUGUCACUUAUAGAUGGAUCCGCGCUGCAUUAGCUAGUUGGUAAGGUAACGGCUUACCAAGGCAACGAUGCAUAGCCGACCUGAGAGGGUGAUCGGCAACACUGGAACUGAGACACGGUCCAGACUCCUACGGGAGGCAGCAGUAGGGAAUCUUCCGCAAUGGGCGAAAGCCUGACGGAGCAACGCCACGUGAGUGAUGAAGGUCUUCGGAUCGUAAAACUCUGUUAUUAGGGAAGAACAUAUGUGUAAGUAACUGUGCACAUCUUGACGGUACCUAAUCAGAAAGCCACGGCUAACUACGUG